UAUUUUGAGGGCAAUCUGGCUGCCACAUCUGUCACCCCAUUGAUCGCCAGGGUUGAUUCUGAUGAUCUGGCUGGCUAGGUGGGUGUCUUCUUCCUCCCCCACAGCUCCAUAUGCAUCCAACCUGAAGCUGCCCAAAUAGAAAUGACCGGUCUUCAGGUCAAAGGUAUAGGAGUAGCCGCGCUCCCCUGCUAGAACCUCCAAACAAGCUCUAGACAGAAUAGAAAGAGGUUAUUUUUUCCCCUGAGUUUCUUGCAUCUUUAUUGUUAUAAGUUCAAAACAGUU
ensembl:misc_RNA 7SK 7SK RNA